GGUACUCCUCCACCCGCCUCCUUCCCAGGGUGGGUGACGUCAGGCAUUAUAUUUCCUUAAAUGGGAAUUUUGUCCGGCAAAAUGGAAUGUUCAGCGUAGUUUGAACUGGCGAAUGUUCCAAGUCGUUGGGUUCGUUCUAACUGCCCCCGCGAGCUGGACUAUAAAUAGUCCAGAAAUCUUUUUCAGCUCAGGUUAAUGUUCUUUCCCAGGAAGGCUAUACUCGUACCAACAUCGGUCAUACUGCCUACCCAGAUAAGAACCAGCAACUCUCCAACUAGAUUGAACUGGUGCUUGCUGGGAAUCCCAAACAGUGCAGAAGCAAAAUGUAACAUAACUUGAGACACCAUUUACAGCAACAUGCUCUCAACAUGUAAGAAGCAGAGCAGGAAAAUGCUGACUGGUUCGUGGUUAACAUCACUGUAAUGGCACCUGCCGUUGAAACCAAGAAAUCUACUGUCAUUGAUUACAAACGAGAAUGGGCAAGAACGCUCUGAAUGAACUUGAAUUGCUUGAAGUAAAGUCCAACAGGCUGCUGGAUGCUGUACCACUGUGGUCACAAUUUACCAGAAUAUCCAGAUACCCUCCAGCACAGGGAAAACUAGGGCAAAACAUUCCAUUUGGAAACAAAGGCAGUGGAGGUCAUCACUGACUACAAUAAACAGUUGGGAGAGAUGGAUAGAACACUAUCUUGAGUUGUACUCUACAGAGAACACUGUCACUGUAGAAGAUCCUAAACACCACACCUUGCCAUCAUGAGACAGCUAGUUAUCAAACUCAGUGAAGGAGUUUAGCAAAGCUGUUGACUAACUUGCCACUGGUGAAAUGCCAGGUGAGGCUAUACUGCCUGCAAUCAUCAAGCACCGGAAACUGGCACUCCUGCAGCAUUGCAUUAACUUCUCUGCCUCUGCUGAAGGGAGGGGGCAGUGCUUCAGGUUUAUUGUGUUGCAAAAGAUUGUGACCUAUCCCUUCUAUUAUCUUCAAGAUCUGUACCUCCUGUAAUAUGCUUUUCCUCAAUCAUGUCAUCUGUUUCUCCUACCCAUCUUGCAUUGCUACUUUUCUCAGUUGUUUAGCCAUUUAACCUUCAGCUAUUAAUGGAAAAUGCUGUUAAUAAAUUUAUCCAUUACUUUGAAAUUUC